rnacentral:rRNA from 1 species
AGUGAACGCUGGCGGUAGGCCUAACACAUGCAAGUCGAACGGCAGCACAGUAAGAGCUUGCUCUUACGGGUGUCGAGUGGCGGACGGGGGAGGAAUACAUCGGAAUCUACUUUUUCGUGGGGGAUAACGUAGGGAAACUUACGCUAAUACCGCAUACGACCUACGGGUGAAAGCAGGGGAUCUUCGGACCUUGCGCGAUUGAAUGAGCCGAUGUCGGAGUAGCUAGUUGGCGGGGUAAAGGCCCACCAAGGCGACGAUCCGUAGCUGGUCUGAGAGGAUGAACAGCCACACUGGAACUGAGACACGGUCCAGACUCCUACGGUAGGAAGCAGUGGGGAAUAUUGGACGAUGGGCGCAAGCCUGAUCCAGCUAUACCGCGUGGGUGCAGAAGGCCUUCGGGUUGUAAAGCCCUUUUGUUGGGAAAGAAAAGCAGCAGGUUAACACCCCGCUGUUCUGACGGUACCCAAAGAAUAAGCACCGGCUAACUUCGUG